GACUUCUCUAUUUUGGCAUUUCCUUCAAGUUUCCUUCUCCAAGAAGACGCUUUGCUUUCUCAUCGCUUUACGCAAACUUUUCCUCUUCUCUUAUCCGGCUCAUUGAUCUUGGGAUUGUCAUGUCCAAAUAUCCCCAAAAUUCAACCCUCCGCUCAGCCGUCCUUCACCAGUGCGACAAAUAGAUUAACAGCACCAAUGAGACGAUUAGCAGAUUUAAUUCAUUUGCUUACCCUUCAUUUGUGGCAGCAAAGACAACAAAAGGAGAAUGUUCAUAGAUACCUGUGAUUACCUUUUCCUUUGUGGUGGCAAAGACGGCGAUAGGAGGAGAUAGCAACGAAGAUUGACGUGGUUAUUGCACAAGGAAGAGUAGGUGACAGACUGAUAAUAGGUAGGGGAGAUUCUUUCUAUACUUUACGACGGUCCGAUGAUCACAGGACGCUUCCACUCCGAUUUAAAAUUCAGCCAUUCAGUCUCUUCAUUUGUAUCCAGUGAAGGAAAUUGAUAGAGAGUGUGUGGUAAAGCCAUGGAUAGAACCAUACGAGAUCCCUGAUUUCAUCCAUUUCUCUAGUCGCAAUGGAGAAAGGACAGAGACAUGGGCCAAUUGGGUUGAAUCCAACGUUGACAGCAGCAGAAGCAACGUUUUCUUCUUUUACAUCUCUUCUAAACACUACGACUAUGUCUUCCCUUGCAGGUAUGAUUGGCAUGCUCACUUUAUCAUUAUAUGGCCUACGAAAUAGUUGUAAUAUUUGUUGUAUUCAUGGGGCUCGAUUGCCUUUUCCUUUGGUUUAUUGGUUUCGAAUGGAGUUUGGAGAAAUAUCAGCUAAA